rnacentral:rRNA from 1 species
GAUGAACGCUGGCGGCGUGCUUAACACAUGCAAGUCGAACGAAGCACCUUGAUUCGAUUCUUCGGAUGAAGAUCUUGGUGACUGAGUGGCGGACGGGUGAGUAACGCGUGGGUAACCUGCCUCAUACAGGGGGAUAACAGUUAGAAAUGACUGCUAAUACCGCAUAAGACCACAGCACCGCAUGGUGCAGGGGUAAAAACUCCGGUGGUAUGAGAUGGACCCGCGUCUGAUUAGGUAGUUGGUGGGGUAACGGCCUACCAAGCCGACGAUCAGUAGCCGACCUGAGAGGGUGACCGGCCACAUUGGGACUGAGACACGGCCCAAACUCCUACGGGAGGCAGCAGUGGGGAAUAUUGCACAAUGGGGGAAACCCUGGUGCAGCGACGCCGCGUGAGCGAUGAAGUAUUUCGGUAUGUAAAGCUCUAUCAGCAGGGAAGAAAAUGACGGUACCUGACUAAGAAGCACCGGCUAAAUACGUG